AACGUAGGACACAAGCGUUAUCCGGAGUUACUGGGCGUAAAGGGCGUGUAGGCGGACCUAUAAGUCUAUUCUGAAAGCUCCUGGCUAAACUGGGAGAGGCGAAUGGAGACUGUAGAUCUAGAGUGAGGAAGAGGAAAGUGGAAUUCCGCGUGUAGUGGUGAAAUGCGUAGAGAUGCGGAGGAACACCAGUGGCGAAAGCGACUUUCUGGUCCUUAACUGACGCUGAGGCGCGAAAGCAUGGGGAGCAAACAGG
rnacentral:rRNA from 1 species